GCUUGUUUGGUUGGGUUUUAUUUAUUAUUAUUUUAUUGGGUUUAUUUAUUCAUUAUUUAUUUAUCUUUCAGAGCAGAGAUGUGAUAUCUGUGUUACACCAGAAAUGGAUGCAGGACAAACCCUUCAGUGUCCUGUCCAAAGUGAAUCUCACAGCAAAAAGGGCUGCUGGGAACAGCACUGGGCACGAGGCUCCUGCUCUGCAAUCAUUGCUGUCCUCUCUCAAAUUAAAGAGGAUGAUUAAAGCAUCAGGAAGAUGCUCCUCAGGAAGAGCUAUGCUUGGCAAAACAACUCCUAAAGCCAAUUUGGAGCUGCUCCAGGACCAUUGCUCGUGGUGGAGGUGCUGCCAGAGCCACUGAACAACAGCAGAUCUGAAAAUGAAUCAUUCCAGAGCAUCUGUUUUGCACUGCUCCCAGUCCAGGAGGAGAGAAAAGCAAACGAGCUGGCAGAGCUGGUGCUGAGCAGAAGUUAUUGCUCCUUAUCUGAAAAGGUUUGCCAUGUCUUCAUGCCAGCACUUGUCAUGCUUUAGAAAAAUCACAAGCAGCAAAAAGUCAGAAUUGUCAGUUCAGAAGACACUGCUUGUUCCACUGGGUAAAAGCCGAGGAAGCAACGUCGGCAAACGAUCUUUAGGAAGAGAAAAAAAAUAAAACCCCCGAUGGAAGCAGCAGUGGAAUGAAGAUAAAAAGGGUUGCAGGCUUUAUUCUCAUUGAAGGUUGGCAACGGGAAAGCUGUUGGAGUAGAAGAGGAAUAUCUGAUAGGUCAUCUGUUGUGUAAUGAAGAAUAGAAGACAAGCGAGGAGAAGCAAGGUGAUUCCAACCCUCCGAGGGAUGGAAGAUCUUGGGAGAGAAACAUGAAAGCAAUACCUUUAUAAACUGACCAAAUUUAAUUUACUAUCAACGAGCCUUGUAAGGCUGCGGGCUGACAAAAUCCAUUUGUGAUGCUGUGGGUAAGGCUGAAGUCAGGCAUUUUUCUCCUGUGGAAUCAUUUUAUUAUGUAUUCCUUUCUUUUUGGUGCAGGUUUUCUGAUUAAAAAUGACCACGAGCAUGUCAAAUAUUUCCUUGUCCUCCUGAUAUCUGGGCUUAGUUACCCCAUAACUGAUCCCACAUAUCCAUCUUCAACAGGCACAAGUAAAGGGGGAACAAAAGCAGAUAAAGAUGUUGUCAUUUAAAAUGCACAAUUUCCUGCAAAAUGUCCAUACGGUUUUGCUCUGGAUGUUCCUUGAGAUACACUGGAGCUGUCAGGAGGUUUUGCUGCAAUAUUUUCAAUGCAUUUUAUCAAAUACAUUCCUGAUUUCAAGUGGGAAGUCAGGAAAUGCUCUGCACGAGAUCCUGAGUGCUUUUCCUUUCAUUUGUGACACACUGAGAGAUGUGAGAUCUGGAUCCUUUUGCUGAGAACA